rnacentral:rRNA from 1 species
AGUGAACGCUGGCGGUAGGCCUAACACAUGCAAGUCGAACGGCAGCACAGUAAGAGCUUGCUCUUACGGGUGGCGAGUGGCGGACGGGCGAGGAAUACAUCGGAGUCUACUUUUUCGUGGGGGAUAACGUAGGGAAACUUACGCUAAUACCGCAUACGACCUACGGGUGAAAGCAGGGGAUCUUCGGACCUUGCGCGAUUGAAUGAGCCGAUGUCGGAUUAGCUAGUUGGCGGGGUAAAGGCCCACCAAGGCGACGAUCCGUAGCUGGUCUGAGAGGAUGAUCGGCGACACUGGAACUGAGACACGGUCCAGACUCCUACGGGAGGCAGCAGUGGGGAAUAGUGGACAAUGGGCGCAAGCCUGAUCCAGCCAUACCGCGUGGGUGAAGAAGGCCUUCGGGUUGUAAAGCCCUUUUGUUGGGAAAGAAAAGCAGCAGGUUAAUACCCCGCUGUUCUGACGGUACCCAAAGAAUAAGCACCGGCUAACUUCGUG